rnacentral:rRNA from 1 species
UGGGGAAUAUUGCACAAUGGGCGCAAGCCUGAUGCAGCCAUGCCGCGUGUGUGAAGAAGGCCUUCGGGUUGUAAAGCACUUUCAGCGAGGAGGAAGGGUAGUGUGUUAAUAGCACAUUGCAUUGACGUUACUCGCAGAAGAAGCACCGGCUAACUCCGUGCCAGCAGCCGCGGUAAUAUGGAGGGUGCAAGCGUUAAUCGGAAUUACUGGGCGUAAAGCGCACGCAGGCGGUUUGUUAAGUCAGAUGUGAAAUCCCCGCGCUUAACGUGGGAACUGCAUUUGAAACUGGCAAGCUAGAGUCUUGUAGAGGGGGGUAGAAUUCCAGGUGUAGCGGUGAAAUGCGUAGAGAUCUGGAGGAAUACCGGUGGCGAAGGCGGCCCCCUGGACAAAGACUGACGCUCAGGUGCGAAAGCGUGGGGAGCAAACA